rnacentral:rRNA from 1 species
UACGUAGGGGGCAAGCGUUUGUCCGGAUUUAUUGGGCGUAAAGAGCGUGUAGGCGGCUCGGUAAGUCCGCUGUAAAAGUCCAGGGCUCAACCCUGGAAAGCCGGUGGAAACUGUCGAGCUAGAGUCCGGAAGAGGCGAGUGGAAUUCCUGGUGUAGCGGUGAAAUGCGCAGAUAUCAGGAGGAACACCAAUGGCGAAGGCAGCUCGCUGGGACGGUACUGACGCUGAGACGCGAAAGCGUGGGGAGCAAACAGG